rnacentral:misc_RNA from 1 species
GAAAUGCGAUAAGUAGUGUGAAUUGCAGAAUUCAGUGAAUCAUCGAAUCUUUGAACGCACAUUGCGCCCCUUGGUAUUCCAUGGGGCAUGCCUGUUCGAGCGUCAUUUGUACCCUCAAGCUCUGCUUGGUGUUGGGUGUUUGUCCCCGUCUCCGCGCGUGGACUCGCCCCAAAGUGAUUGGCAGCCGGCGUACUGGUCCCGGAGCGCAGCACAUGUCGCGCAAACGAGUGCCUUGGUACGGCGUCGUCCAUAAGCCCCUCUCUCACGCUCUUGACCUCGGAUCAGGUAGGGAUACCCGCUGAACUUAAGC